UGCGUAGGUGGCAUGGUAAGUCGGAUGUGAAAUCCCGGGGCUCAACCCCGGAACUGCAUUCGAUACUGCUGCGCUAGAGUACUGGAGAGGAGAUUGGAAUUUACGGUGUAGCAGUGAAAUGCGUAGAUAUCGUAAGGAAGACCAGUGGCGAAGGCGGAUCUCUGGACAGUUACUGACACUGAGGCACAAGGGCCAGGGGAGCAAACG
rnacentral:rRNA from 1 species